UACGUAGGGGGCAAGCGUUGUCCGGAUUUAUUGGGCGUAAAGAGCGUGUAGGCGGCCAGGUAGGUCUGUUGUGAAAACUCGAGGCUCAACCUCGAGACGCCGAUGGAAACCAACUGGCUAGAGUCCGGAAGAGGAGAGUGGAAUUCCUGGUGUAGCGGUGAAAUGCGCAGAUAUCUGGAGGAGCACCGGUGGCGAAGGCGGCAUCCUGGACCAACACUGACGCUGAGUGAGCGAAAGCCAGGGGAGCAAACGGG
rnacentral:rRNA from 1 species